rnacentral:rRNA from 1 species
GACGAACGCUGGCGGCGUGCUUAACACAUGCAAGUCGAACGAAGUGGCGAACGGGUGAGUAACGCGUAAUCAACCUGGCCUUCAGUGGGGGACAACAGUUGGAAACGACUGCUAAUACCGCAUACUGAAGGAGGGGAUUGCGGCUGAUUAGCUGGUUGGAGGGGUAACGGCCCACCAAGGCGAUGAUCCGUAGCCGGGCUUGGAGGAUGAACGGCUACAGUGGGACUGAGACACGGCCCAGAAUCCUACGGGAGGCAGCUGUGGGGAAUCUUCCGAAAUGGAUGAAAGUCUGACGGGGCAACGCCGCGUGAUGGAUGACGGCCUUCGGGGUGUAAAGCUCUGUUAAUCGGGACGCGGUACCGGAAUAGAAAGCCACGGCUAACUACGUGCCAGCAGCCGCGGUAAUUC